UACGUAGGUGGCGAGCGUUGUCCGGAAUCACUGGGCGUAAAGGGCGCGUAGGCUGUUAUUUAAGUCAGGUGUGUAAUCUGCGGGCUCAACCCGGAGUUUGCACCUGAUACUGGAUGGCUUGAGUGCUGGAGAGGGCAGUGGAAUUCCUAGUGUAGCGGUGAAAUGCGUAGAUAUUAGGAGGAACACCAGUGGCGAAGGCGGCUGCCUGGACAGUAACUGACGCUGAGGCGCGAAAGCGUGGGGAGCAAACAGGAUUAGAUACCCUGGUAGUCCACGCCGUAAACGAUGGGUACUAGGUGUAGAGGGUAUCGACCCCUUCUGUGCCGGAGUUAACACAAUAAGUACCCCGCCUGGGGAGUACGGCCGCAAGGUUGAA
rnacentral:rRNA from 1 species